CCCAGCAGAGGGGAGCUCGGCAUAGCCCAGGCCUGCUGCCGCCCGCCCCACCGCCGUCUGACAACGGCUCUGAUUCUCGACACCCCCCGCACCUGCGCGCGGUGCUCUCGCCCCGAGGUUGCGCCCUCCUCCGCCAAUCGGCGGGCGCGGCGGCUGCGCUCGAAUCUGCGCGCGGGCCGCCGUGAGGGCGGCGGGGCCGGGCCGGGAGCGCGGCCAUGAGGGAGCCGGGACCCGCCCGCCACCGCCGCGCCCCAACCUGCGACAUCGUCGCCGCGACCCCCAGCCGCCCCCGCCGCGCCCCAACCUGCGACAUCGUCGCCACGACCCCCAGCCGCCCCCGCCGCGCCCCAACCUGCGACAUCGUCGCCACGACCCCCAGCCGCCACAGCCGCGCCCCAACCUGCGACAUCGUCACCACGACCCCCAGCCGCCACAGCCGCCCCUUCUGGGGAGAGCCGCCGCUCCGUUCCGUGUUGCUCAGUAGCAUCCCCGCGGGGACCAUCACCCCGCUGAAGCAGCUCCUGCUGGGCCAGCGCAGCCUCGCAUCGGGCCCGCAGCGCGGGGAGCCGGAGCUCCGGGCUGGCCAUGAAACCCGGCCCGGGCCUGGCCCUGACACCCGGCCCGGGGCUGGAUCUGAUCCCCGGCCCGGGCCUGGUUCUGGCCCCGACACCGACACCCGGCCCGGGGCCGGCAACGAAACCCGGCCCGGGGCCGGCACGGACACCCGGCCCAGGCCUGGCCCCGAUCCCCGGCCCGGCCCCGCCAUCGAGCGGCCGCCGAAGCGCCGCGCUCCGGAGCCGCCCGAGCAGGAGUCGCUGGCCAAGGUCUUCCAGCGGAUGAAGGCGCGGGCGGAGCAGCAGCGCAGGGCGGCCCCCGAUGCGAUCCUGAGCCCCGCGGGGGUCGGGAAGCGCUGGCCGGGCGCGGGCUGGGACCAGGGCAGCUCCCAGCAAGGACCAGAGGCAGUUUGCCCUCAGGUUCCUGGGCUGGAGCCCCAGGCAGUGCUCCCUGCAGAGCCUCCCGUGGUGGAAACCCCCCAGAAGUUCUUCCUGCGGGUGAAGUGGCAGCUGCAGCAGCAGCACGGAGCUCCAGCAUCUUCAACCCAAACCCAGCAGAAUAUUCCUCCUCCCCCAGCUGUGGAGAAUCCUUCAGUCCAGCCUGCUUGUGCUGAGCAGCCAGGGAAUGGGGCUGUGGACUCUGAUAAGGAUGAUGUGGAUGUUUUCCUGGUGGAAUCUGUAGAAGUGGAUGCUGAUGGAGACAUGUCUCUAAAUAUAAUGGCUACUCCUGGGGAAAUAAACUCUCCCCCUUGUGCAAAUGGGGAUCAGGUAGAAGGAAGGUGGAGAAAUGGAGAAGCAAAACGUACAGAGCUCAGUGAAGACAGGAGAGAGCUGCAGCCCAGUAAGACAGCAGCUGCUCCAGCAGUGGAGGAGGCAGCAGACACCAAUCCUGGAACUGCCUCCCAGAGCCACGUGCUCCCCUCUCCUGUCCGGAUCCCAAGGAGUCAGAAGCUGGCAGGAUCCCCCAGGGUCCUUUUGGAUAGAAUUACUUAUCAACCUCCUGGCAAAGCACAGAAAGAGAAAUACAUCUGUCUGAGCAGCUGGAGGAUUAAAGUGCUGACUGGAAACACAGCAAUCUGUGUGGAAGGGAGAAGGAAGGACAUGAGGCAGCUGCUGUGGCACAGCAGUGCCAUCACCGAGCGCCUCAGCCACACCCAGGUGAGAACCUCCACGGGGGCUGUGUACCUGCUGCAGGGCAAGAUAGACUCGGCUGCCAUGAGGAAGGAAGGCUUCCCCUAUCGCUUCAUCAAGAAAUUCACCUUUGGCUUCUCCAGGAGGUGGAAGGAGCACGUGGAGGAGUUCCUGGAGCAAAGGAGGAGGAAAGAACAAGCUCUACAAAGUAGUACUGGGGAAGAAAAUGAGAAUGACUCUGUGGGGGGAACUGAUGUGUUGGAAGCUGCAGGAGGCUCAGCAGGCAAUGCAAAGAAACGAGCACUGAGGAGCUCCACCUAUGAGGUAUCACCAGGGAAUGAUGACAACACCUUUGUAACACCAAAGGACAGCUCCAGGAAGGACUCGAGCAGGGUCUACACGCGCAGCGGGCGCCUCGUCAAACCCCCCCUGAACUUCUGGUGUGGGCAGAGGGAGUUUGUGGAUCAGAACCUGAAUGUCACCAUAGAAAGGGGGGGAGUGGAUUAUCUCAGCCUGAUGGUUGGUAGUGAAAAAUCCAAAAGAAAGACCAGUUUCACGUCCAAGAAGAAAAAACCACAGGAAGACACAAGGGCAACAGAGGAAAUGCCAAAAAGCCAAAGUAAAGGGAGGAGCGGGGACAGAGGAGCCACUGGCAGAGCAGGACCCCGAGCUGGCAGCCGCAGGAGGGACAGGCCCCUCCUCUCGGAUGAGGAGGAGGAUGAUCCUGGAAUCAGGGCCACAGCAGCCAAAUCCCAGCUCCCUGCCAGGGGCAGUUCCUCAAACACCAAGGUGUUGAACAAGCACAGCAGCAGAGCCCUGAGGGCAGCACAGAGAGCAGCAGGCUCUGCAGAGCUGAGCAUGCACCAGCAGGGCUACAGGAGCUCCCUCAGGUCAGCCAAGAAGCAGCAGCUCCCAGGACAGGAGAGGGCUCUCCCCAGCCAGGAACCCCCAGAGCAGGAUGAGGGGGAGCAGUCCAGUGAGGACCCCCCCCUGCUGAUCAAGAGGAAAAACAAAUCUGUAUUAAAGCCAGAGUCUCAGAACUGGAAACCUUGCUCUGGCUCUAAAAGCUCCUCGGACAAUGCAGACAAGUCCUGUGGCCAGAGGACAGGAAAGCCCUCCCAGAAUGUGCUGGUGAGGCUGAGUGGGCCCAAGUCCAGUGAGGAGUCUGAGCCCCCUUCUGAAGGGGAAACACCUGAGUCCAGUGCUUCCCCCCUGGCUGGCCAGGCCAGGAGGGCACAGGGCAGCAGCAGCCCUGCCAGGCACCUGCUGCAGCCUGACAGCGAGUCUGCCACCAGCAAGGAGGAGUUUCACAGGAAGGACAGCAGUGCCAGAGCAUCCCAGGUGCCACCAGGCACUGCAGCAGCACCCACACAGCACCACAGGGCAAAGGGGCAGAAACCUCUGGAACUCUUCCCAAGGGCAGCUGAUGGCUGGUCUGAGAAGGAACUGCAGAAGCUUCACAGGGCCAUUGCUGCGCUCCCCAAGCACAGGAGCGGCUUCUGGCAGGACGUGGCCAUGGCCGUGGGGUCCCGCUCGGCCCAGGAGUGCCAGGAGAGGUUCCUGCAGGAGCAGCAGGGGAAAGGCUCCAAACAGCAGCCCAGGAAAACCACCUCAGGAAAAGGUGAGCAGAAAGAUCCUGCAGAUAAGAAGGAGGCAGUGAUCACUGCCAAGGUGGGCACCCUCAAACGGAAGCAGCAGAUGAGGGAAUUCCUGGAGCAGCUGCCCAAGGACAACCACGAGGAUGUCUUCACUGCCACGCCCUUCCAGAGCAGGAGGGUGCAGCUGCCAGCACUGCGAGGGAGCUGUGACGACGACACCGAGGAGUUCAGCCUGUCAGAGCUGCCGCUCACGCCCUCCUCAGGGCUCCUCCCCUCGGCGAAAACCCCGCAGUGUCAGCACAUCAGCCCGGGAAUGCUGGUCCCCAUCAACAGGAAGGACUACGACCGGCACAUGUUCCGCAUGCAGAAGAACACGCGGGGCAGCCGAGGCACCUGGGACAAGGUCACCAAGAAAUCGGUAAUGCUGCUCUCCUGGGCACUGCCCACCCCACCUGAGCCACUCCUGCCAUCUCAGCCCCUGCUGUGGCACUGCAUGGGAAAUGGGAGCCCUCCUGGCUUUGGGAUCUGCUGCUCAGGGGAGGAGUUCCUUUGCCAGAAGGGAGCUCUGUAUUGUCAGGAUUAACUCCAUUGCUCUGGAAUUCCAUGAUCUUUGGGAUUCCAUGAUCUUGUUAAAUUCUCCUGAACAGUGGGAAAAGGAACAAUAACCAUAGAGCCAUAAAAUAUCCUGAGGUACCCAUAAGGGCCCCACAAGGAUCAUCCAGUCCAGCUCCUAAGUGACCAUAAGUCACUUUGUGUCCCAGCUCCUGCGUUUAGGUAUUGAUUGUUCCACUCUCCCGGGCUCUGCAGCUCCUCUGGCUUUCCCAUGAAGCCCUGGGAUCCCAGGAGCAGCUUGUGCCUGUGGUUCAGGGAAAGCACUUGUGGGAGCUGUGGGCCAUGGGGGCCCUGAGCUGGUGCCAGCCCUGGCUGAGCCUUUCCCUCCCUCCCUCUCCCCUCAGGCGGCGGCGGCGCUGGGGACGCCGGCCUCCUGCAGAACCAAGAGAGUGUCCCCAGCCCAGGUGGUGGGGAAGCUCUUCACAGCUGAGGCUCCAGACUCG